UACGUAGGGUGCAAGCGUUAAUCGGAAUUACUGGGCGUAAAGCGUGCGCAGGCGGUUGUGCAAGACAGAUGUGAAAUCCCCGGGCUCAACCUGGGAACUGCAUUUGUGACUGCACAGCUUGAGUGCGGCAGAGGGGGAUGGAAUUCCGCGUGUAGCAGUGAAAUGCGUAGAUAUGCGGAGGAACACCGAUGGCGAAGGCAAUCCCCUGGGCCUGCACUGACGCUCAUGCACGAAAGCGUGGGGAGCGAACAGG
rnacentral:rRNA from 1 species